rnacentral:rRNA from 1 species
CGGAGGGAUCAUUACACAAAUAUGAAGGCGGUGCUGUAGAUAGUGUGAUGUCGCUGAGCUGAAUUAUUCAACCCUUGUCUUUAUGUCGCUGCUUAUGCUCGCUGUGGGUUCGCCCACCACAUGCUCGUGAUUAAACCUUUUGUAAUUGCAAUCAGCGUCAGUAACAAAUUAAAUGCUGCUCGAUUCAACAACGGAUCAUGCUGCUCGUGCAUCGAUGAAGAACGCAGCGAAAUAUGCUCGCUGUAGUGAAAUGCUCGCUGUAGAGAAUCAUCGAAUCUUUGAACGCAUAUGCUCGCUGAUGAUAUUCCAAAGGGCAUGCCUGUUCGAGCGUCAUUAUGCUCGUGAAGCUUUGCUUGGUGUUGGGCGUCAUGCUGCUCGUAUUGCUGGAGACUCGCCUUAAAGUAAUUAUGUCGCUGCCUACUGGUUAUGUCGCUCGUCACAAUGCUCGUAGAUUAUCAUGCUGCUCGUAGCAUCCAUUAAGCCUUUUUUCAACUUUUGACCUCGGAUAUGUCGCUUACCCGCUGAACUUAAGCAUAUAGUCGCUGAUGAUGCUCGUGAUAUAGUGUCGCUG